rnacentral:rRNA from 1 species
AUUGAACGCUGGCGGCAGGCCUAACACAUGCAAGUCGAGCGGAUGAAGGGAGCUUGCUCCUGGAUUCAGCGGCGGACGGGUGAGUAAGGCCUAGGAAUCUGCCUGGUAGUGUGGGAUAACGUCCGGAAACGGGCGCUAAUACCGCAUACGUCCUGAGGGAGAAAUGGGGGGAUCUUCGGACCUCACGCUAUCAGAUGAGCCUAGGUCGGCUUAGCUAGUUGGUGGGGUAAAGGCCUACCAGGGCGACGAUCCGUAACUGGUCUGAGAGGAUGAUCAGUCACACUGGAACUGAGACCCGUUCCAGACUCCUACGGGAGGCAGCAGUCGGGAAUAUUGGCCACUGCGCGCAAGCCUGAUCCAGCCCUGCCCCGUGUGUGAAGAAGGUCUUCGGAUUGUAAAGCACUUUAAGUUGCGAGGAUGGGCAGUCAGUUACUCCCUUGCUGUUUUGACGUUACCCACAGAAUACGCACCGGCUACCUUCGUG